UCCCUGAUAGCUCAGUUGGUAAGAAUCUGCCUGCAAUGCAGGAGACCUGGGUUCAAUUCCUGGGUGGGGAA
rnacentral:tRNA from 1 species